AUUGAACGCUGGCGGCAUGCUUUACACAUGCAAGUCGAACGGCAGCACGGGGGCGAACCCUGGUGGCGAGUGGCGAACGGGUGAGUAACACAUCGGAACGUGUCCUGUUGUGGGGGAGUAACCAGUCGAAAGACGGGCUAAUACCGCAUGAGCUGGAGACAGGAAAGCGGGGACGUCGUAAGGCCUCGUGCGAUUGGAGCGGCCGAUGUCCGAUUAGCUAGUUGGUGAGGUAAAGGACUCACCAAGGCAACGAUCGGUAGCUGGUCUGAGAGGAUGAUCAGCCACACUGGGACUGAGACACGGCCCAGACUCCUACGGGAGGCAGCAGUGGGGAAUUUUGGACAAUGGGGCAACCCUGAUCCAGCCAUGCCGCGUGAGUGAAGAAGGCC
rnacentral:rRNA from 1 species